UCACCACUCUGGCCUUUUGGCUUAGAUCAAGUGUAGUAUCUGUUCUUAAAAGUUUAACCACUUUUACCGAAGCACUGCUUCGUGUUAUGGUUAUCCAAUUUUUGUCGCCCCUGUUCCCUGGGCUCUGCUUGCAACCUGGGGGCGCGAUGACCUUGCCAUUGCAGUACAGGCUUGUGCCGUCGGGGGAAU
rfam:Schizophyllum commune H4-8 unplaced genomic scaffold SCHCOscaffold_4, whole genome shotgun sequence.